GUUAGACUGUCAGGCUUGCAAGGAUGCAUUUUAAGAAAUCAGUUUCUUUGAAAGCACUUGAACCAAAAGUCAAAUGGCAUGAUGUAAACCAAUAGUCUUUCAAUGAAGAUAUGAAAACCCUCAAUAAUUACAAAUAAGGAAUCUAACCUAUUGACACCAAUUUGAUUACACUGUAUUGAUUUCUACAAAAAUAUUAUGAGAGAGCAGGCUACUUAUACUCUACUGAUCAGAUUACAAGUAUACUUAGUAAAGACAGAAAUAGUAUAGCCAUAAAAGAGUUUACCUUAAAAUGUCACCUGAUGUUAGUUGUCCCUCACUGAUUCAAGUAAUUUCCUUUAUUGAGGUGGAUCUGCCUGUUGGUGGAGAACCCUAGACUGCAUGCAGCCAUGCACAUGAUCUGGAGACACAGCAGGUCAUCCUCAGCAUUUAUACUCUCUCUCCUUUUGUGCCCCCAUGGACCAAGUUAAGAAGGUGUAGGCU
rnacentral:lncRNA from 1 species